UCCACGGUGAAACACAAUGCAAAUGCUCUCUCUCUCUCUCUCUCUCCAUAUUGUGUUUCUCUCUCUUCUCUCUUUCUCUUGAGUUUAUGAUUAACAACUAGCGCCAGUAGAAUGCAGUAGCUGAGUCAAACGCCCUCGUGCGCUACAGCCGAAUAAUUCAAUCAUAAGGCAGGCGAUACUCUCCGAUCUCGGCACAGAGAUAGUAUUCCCAGUGUGCAUCGGCAUCGGAAUUGUGUUCUCCUUAUUUCAGUGGGUGCUUGCCUCUAAAGUUAAGCUCUCACUAGAAAAACCCUCUUUUGCGACCGCGACGGUGAACAACAAGAACGGAGGCUCCACCGAGUCAUUGAUUGAGAACGAUGAAGGUCUUAAGGACCACAAAGUCGUCCAAAAAUGUGUCGAAAUUCAUAAUAAUAUCUCUGAAGGUUUCUUAUACAAUUUUUGUUUUUCUGCAUAAAAUAUUUCAUUUGCAAGGAAGAUGAGGGAUAAAUGUAGUCGCCUUCAUAGUCAGAGUUGCUGAUAGUUUCUAGAUCUGGAUUUGGCUUCUUCUUCUUCAAUCUGUUCAGAUCUAGUUUUUAUUUUUUUAUUUUUAUAUCUUUUUUGGGGUUAUCUGUUCAGAUCUAGUGUUGAGUUGUGCUCUGCACAGUUAAUGUAGAUGAGUUAUUUUUUGUAGUGCUUUGAACAUAUAGGAGUUGAUUCUGAUUUUGUUUGUAGUUUGUUGUUGCAGCUAAAAAUUA